UACAGAGGGUGCGAGCGUUAAUCGGAAUUACUGGGCGUAAAGCGUGCGUAGACGGCUAUCUAAGUCGGGUGUGAAAGCCCCGGGGCUCAACCUGGGAAUUGCAUUCGAGACUGAAUAGCUAGGGUACGGUAGAGGGAAGUGGAAUUUCCGGUGUAGCGGUGAAAUGCGUAGAUAUCGGAAGGAACAUCAGUGGCGAAAGCGACUUCCUGGACCAGUACCGACGUCAGGCACGAAAGCGUGGGGAGCAA
rnacentral:rRNA from 1 species